rnacentral:rRNA from 1 species
GCUCCCUUAGGUCAGCGGCGGACGGGUGAGUAACACGUGGGUAACCUGCCUGUAAGACUGGGAUAACUCCGGGAAACCGGGGCUAAUACCGGAUGCUUGAUUGAACCGCAUGGUUCAAUCAUAAAAGGUGGCUUUUAGCUACCACUUGCAGAUGGACCCGCGGCGCAUUAGCUAGUUGGUGAGGUAACGGCUCACCAAGGCGACGAUGCGUAGCCGACCUGAGAGGGUGAUCGGCCACACUGGGACUGAGACACGGCCCAGACUCCUACGGGAGGCAGCAGUAGGGAAUCUUCCGCAAUGGACGAAAGUCUGACGGAGCAACGCCGCGUGAGUGAUGAAGGUUUUCGGAUCGUAAAACUCUGUUGUUAGGGAAGAACAAGUACCGUUCGAAUAGGGCGGCACCUUGACGGUACCUAACCAGAAAGCCACGGCUAACUACGUGCCAGCAGCCGCGGUAAUACGUAGGUGGCAAGCGUUGUCCGGAAUUAUUGGGCGUAAAGCGCGCGCAGGCGGUUUCUUAAGUCUGAUGUGAAAGCCCCCGGCUCAACCGGGGAGGGUCAUUGGAAACUGGGGAACUUGAGUGCAGAAGAGGAGAGUGGAAUUCCACGUGUAGCGGUGAAAUGCGUAGAGAUGUGGAGGAACACCAGUGGCGAAG